rnacentral:snoRNA from 1 species
UGCCGGAUGAUGACAAGCAUUCUCAUAUGUUCGCAGUUGAGAGUUGAAAAAAGAACGACUCGAUGAAUUAUCUUUGUAGCCUUCACUUAGAUGUCUGACCCCAGAG